AUUGAACGCUGGCGGCAGGCCUAACACAUGCAAGUCGAGCGGAGCGGCGGACGGGUGAGUAAUGCCUAGGAAUCUGCCUGGUAGUGGGGGAUAACGUCCGGAAACGGGCGCUAAUACCGCAUACUAUCAGAUGAGCCUAGGUCGGAUUAGCUAGUUGGUGGGGUAAAGGCCAACCAAGGGGACGAUCCGUAACUGGUAUGAGAGGAUGAUCAGUCACACGGUACCUGGGACACGGUCCAGACUCCUACGGAGGGCGGCAGUGGGGAAAAUUGGACAAUGGGCGAAAGCCUGAUCCAGCCAUGCCGGGUGUGGGAAGAAGGUCUUCGGAUUGUAAAGCACUUUAAGUUGGGAGGCGUUACCAACAGAGUAAGCACCGGCUAACUUCGUGCCAGCGGCCGGGUAAUAC
rnacentral:rRNA from 1 species